GACAGAGGCCCCAAGCGUUAGGCGGAAUCACUGGGCUUAAAGCGUGUGUAGGCGGACGCCUAAGUGUCUUGUGAAAUCCCACGGCUCACCCGUGGAACUGCUGGGCAUACUGGGCGUCUUGGGCCAACUAGGGGCAGCCGGAACAAGCGGUGGAGCGGUGAAAUGCGUAGAUAUCGCUUGGAACGCCGAAGGUGAAAACAGGUUGCUGGGGUUGUGCCGACGCUGAGACACGAAAGCCAGGGGAGCAAACGGG
rnacentral:rRNA from 1 species